rnacentral:rRNA from 1 species
UGGGGAAUUUUGGACAAUGGGCGAAAGCCUGAUCCAGCAAUGCCGCGUGUGUGAAGAAGGCCUUCGGGUUGUAAAGCACUUUUGUCCGGAAAGAAAUGGCUCUGGUUAAUACCUGGGGUCGAUGACGGUACCGGAAGAAUAAGGACCGGCUAACUACGUGCCAGCAGCCGCGGUAAUACGUAGGGUCCAAGCGUUAAUCGGAAUUACUGGGCGUAAAGCGUGCGCAGGCGGUUGUGCAAGACUGAUGUGAAAUCCCCGAGCUUAACUUGGGAAUUGCAUUGGUGACUGCACGGCUAGAGUGUGUCAGAGGGGGGUAGAAUUCCACGUGUAGCAGUGAAAUGCGUAGAGAUGUGGAGGAAUACCGAUGGCGAAGGCAGCCCCCUGGGAUAACACUGACGCUCAUGCACGAAAGCGUGGGGAGCAAACAGG